rnacentral:rRNA from 1 species
GAAUCUUCCGCAAUGGACGCAAGUCUGACGGAGCAACGCCGCGUGAGUGAUGAAGGUUUUCGGAUCGUAAAGCUCUGUUGCCAGGGAAGAAUAAGCGGGGGAGCAACUGCCCCUGUGAUGACGGUACCUGAGAAGAAAGCCCCGGCUAACUACGUGCCAGCAGCCGCGGUAAUACGUAGGGGGCAAGCGUUGUCCGGAAUUAUUGGGCGUAAAGCGCGCGCAGGCGGUCUUUUAAGUCUGGUGUUUAAACCUGAGGCUCAACUUCGGGUCGCAUCGGAAACUGGGGGACUUGAGUGCAGAAGAGGAGAGUGGAAUUCCACGUGUAGCGGUGAAAUGCGUAGAGAUGUGGAGGAACACCAGUGGCGAAGGCGACUCUCUGGGCUGUAACUGACGCUGAGGCGCGAAAGCGUGGGGAGCAAAC